rnacentral:lncRNA from 1 species
UUCAAGCUCUCCUUUAGUGAGUACAAGUGAAUGAUUUAGUACAAAUGACAUUAGGAAAUAUUGUGGGAGAAUGAUCUCGUAACCACGAAACUUCUAAGUACCGGAGUGUGGUAUCGUCUUGACUUUCCUUAUCUGUCUCAUAGGUAGAUGUGGCAUCUUCUCUGGAAGUACUCUUCCUCCAUCCAGGGGUGGUAUCUGUAACUGGUGGAGAUGCACAAGGUAAUGUAUC